rnacentral:tRNA from 1 species
GGGAGAGAGGUCGAGUGGUCAAAAGCGGUAAACUGUAAAUCUGUUAAAGUUUUUCGACGUAGGUUCGAAUCCUGCCUCUUUGA